UAGAUCUAGUUGGUGAGUAAGAAAGUCGUUUUUCAACAUUAUACACCCCAUAUAGGGAAACUUAAUUCUAGUAACGAAGCUCUGCUGCUCUUGGGUUUUUUUUUCGCAUGUAGGCAUCAGGUGAAAUCGUUCACGAUUUAUUUUUACAGACACACAGAGCUUUGGGUUUUGUCGUUGUCGACCCGGAAACGAGUGCCAUCGUCGUCGUUGAAAACACCGUCGCCGACUUUAAAUUCCGUAAACACUGCGGGAAUUACCAGAGCUUACAAUGACGAGAGUCUGCAACGAUGUUUUUCCGCUCGAUUUAUUUUUCGACUUUCGAAUAAUAACAUUAGAGUUCGGCAACCGACCUAAAACACGCGUAUACGUAUAUUAUUAUAUUAACACGUUUCGGUAAAUUGGAAUUGUUUAAGGAAAUUCUCAUUCCGUACGU